GGGGCCGGAUGCGUAGCUGGUGCUUGCCGUGGUCUUCAAAACCAUCAGGGAGGCGCGUGGCGUCUCCGCUGGGUUCGAUUCCCAGACGGUCCCGCCA
rnacentral:tRNA from 1 species